AGCUUAAAUGGUCUAAGUGGUUAGAGCGUCCGUCUUGGAUGCGGGAGGUCGUGGGUUUGAUCCCUGGUUGAGUCA